AUUUUAAAGAACACGCUUGAAACGAAGUGUAUUAAAAGGAUAAAAAAAAGCCUUGACUUAUAUUUUGUGUGCUAGAUUUAAAUAGGUCAUUGGUCUUGAAUUGGAAGAACUGGGUAACCCCGUUAUUAUCAAAAUCAUGUAUACUUUCAAUAUGAAUUUUCAGUAUGCAUUGUGAUACUAUGCAAAAUAAAAUUGAUACUACAAUAGUUGCCUUCUUUUUUGGUUAAAAAAAAAAACUUACAAAGGGACUGAAAAUAGCAUGCCCUUUCCCUCCUCUUAUACAGUAAACAAGUUUAAUUAUAA